rnacentral:rRNA from 1 species
UGCACAAGCGGGGAGCAUGUGGUUUAAUUAGAUUAACGCGAAGAACCUUCUUACCUGUUUUGACUGCACGGACUUUUCAGAGACGAGAAUGUGCCUUCGGGGACUUGAGACAGGUGCUGCAUGGCUGUCGUCAGCUCGUGUUGUGAGAUGUUGGGUUAAGUCCCGCAACGAGCGCAACCCUUAUCCUUUGUUGCCAUCAUUUCGUUGGGAAACCUAAAGGAAAUGGCCGUGGAAAAACUGGAGAAAGGGGGGGAGAACUCCAAUCCUCAUGGGCCCUUACGACCGGGGCUACACACGUGCUAAAAGGGCGCAUACAAAGGGUUAAUCCUUAAAAGAGAGCAAGCGGACCUCAUGUCCUCUGCAACUCUCCGGAUUGGAGUCUGAAUCUCUACUCCAUGAAGACCGAAUCGCUAGUAAUAAUACAUUCCAAGGCCACGGUGAAUACUUUCCCGGGCA